UACGGGGGGGGCAAGCGUUGUUCGGAAUUACUGGGCGUAAAGGGCUCGUAGGCGGCCAACUAGGUCAGACGUGAAAUCCCUCGGCUUAACCGGGGAACUGCCUCUGAUACUGGAUGGCUUGAGAUUGGGAGAGGGAUGCGGAAUUCCAGGUGUAGCGGUGAAAUGCGUAGAUAUCUGGAGGAACACCGGUGGCGAAGGCGGCAUCCUGGACCAACACUGACGCUGAGGAGCGAAAGCCAGGGGAGCAAACGGG
rnacentral:rRNA from 1 species